UACGGGGGGAGCAAGCGUUGUUCGGAUUUACUGGGCGUAAAGGGCGGGUAGGCGGCCACCGCAAGUCAGUUGUGAAAUCUCCGGGCUUAACCCGGAAAGGUCAACUGAUACUGCGGGGCUAGAGUGCAGAAGGGGCAACUGGAAUUCUCGGUGUAGCGGUGAAAUGCGCAGAUAUCAGGAGGAACACCGGUGGCGAAGGCGGCUUGCUGGGCCUUACCUGACGCUGAGGAGCGAAAGCGUGGGGAGCGAACAGG
rnacentral:rRNA from 1 species